rnacentral:rRNA from 1 species
AUUGAACGCUGGCGGCAGGCCUAACACAUGCAAGUCGAGCGGAUGAAGGGAGCUUGCUCCUGGAUUCAGCGGCGGACGGGUGAGUAAUGCCUAGGAAUCUGCCUGGUAGUGGGGGAUAACGUCCGGAAACGGGCGCUAAUACCUCAUACGUCCUGAGGGAGAAAGUGGGGGAUCUUCGGACCUCACGCUAUCAGAUGAGCCUAGGUCGGAUUAGCUAGUUGGUGGGGUAAAGGCCUACCAAGGCGACGAUCCGUAACUGGUCUGAGAGGAUGAUCAGUCACACUGGAACUGAGACACGGUCCAGACUCCUACGGGAGGCAGCAGUGGGGAAUAUUGGACAAUGGGCGAAAGCCUGAUCCAGACAUGCCGCGUGUGUGAAGAAGGUCUUCGGAUUGUAAAGCACUUUAAGUUGGGAGGAAGGGCAGUAAGUUAAUACCUGGCUGUUUUGACGUUACAAACAGAAUAAGCACCGGCUAACUUCGUG